rnacentral:rRNA from 1 species
UUCAUACUAGAAUAUUUAUUCAAUCUAAAUAUUAAUAUAUAUCUAUAUUAAUUAAUUAAUUAAAUUCUAUAUUUAAUUAUAUAUUAAAAACUUAUUAGACUCAUAUUAAAUAUAUCAAAUUAAAAGUUAUCUUUAUUAGAUUAUGUAGAAUAGAAAUUUAUACAAUAUUAUAUAUAUAAUGAUAUAUUAAUGUAUAUUAUCUUAAGAUAUAAAUUAUUAUACUUUUUUAUAAACUAAUUAAUUAAUGUUCCAGAAUAUUCGGUUAAACAUAAAAGUUUUAGUAUAAAUUAUUAUUAAAGGACUUACUUAGUUAAUAUAAAUUAUUAAAUGUUAAUAAUUAAGUAUAUAUAAAAUAUUAUUAUUAGUUAAAUAAUAAAUAAAUAUAAAAUAUUAUUAUAAAUAAAGAAAUAUACAGAAUAUUAUUAGUAUUAAAUUUAAUUAAGCAUUAUUUUAUAAAUUGGAUUAGAGACCCAAGUAAUAAUAGCAGUUAAUUAUAAUAAAUUUAUUUAUAAAUAUGAAAAUAGAAAUAUUAUUCCUAGAGAAUAAAAUAGCAAUAUUUAAAAUUAAUAAUGUUAGAUAGUAUAUAAUUAAGAAUUUAUGACUUAUCAUUUUUAAUAUGAAGAUACACAUAUAAAUUAUACAUAUAAUAAGAUAUAUUGCAUGAUUAUUUUUAGAUUAUUAUUUAUUAUUAUAUAUUCAUUAGAAUAUAUAUAUUAUAUAUUAUUAAAAUAAAUAAUAUGAUUUAUUAAAUAUGGAAACAGAUAAGACUAAUUAUUUCUACAUAUAUAUAUAUGUAUUAUUAAUAGAAAUAAAAAGUAAAUUAUUAUAAUAAAUUAUAGAAAUUAGAAUAAUUGAAUAUUAAAUUUAUAUAUACUUACAGCCCAUCAAUAGAGUAUAUUUAUAUAUCUAUAAGUUGUAACAAGGUAUUAGUUCAAGAAUGAGUUAAUA